UACGAAGGGGGCUAGCGUUGCUCGGAAUCACUGGGCGUAAAGGGUGCGUAGGCGGGCAGGUAAGUCCGUGGUGAAAUCUCUGAGCUUAACUCAGAAACUGCCAUGGAUACUAUUUGUCUUGAAUAUUGUGGAGGCAAGCGGAAUAUGUCAUGUAGCGGUGAAAUGCUUAGAUAUGACAUAGAACACCCAUUGCGAAGGCAGCUUGCUACACAAUGAUUGACGCUGAGGCACGAAAGCGUGGGGAUCAAACAGG
rnacentral:rRNA from 1 species